AUACGGAGGAUGCGAGCGUUAUCCGGAUUUAUUGGGUUUAAAGGGUGCGUAGGCGGGCUGUUAAGCGUGAGGUGAAAGCUCGGGGCUCAACCCCGGAACUGCCUCGCGAACUGGCGGUCUUGAAUGUCCGUGCCGUGGGAGGAAUGUGUGGUGUAGCGGUGAAAUGCAUAGAGAUCACACAGAACACCAUUUGCGAAGGCAGCUCACAAAUCCGUGAUUUACGCUGAGGCACUAGAGUGUGGGGAUCAAACAGGAUUAGAUACCCUGGUAGUCCACACUGUAAACGAUGAUGACUCGCUGUCGGCGAUAUACAGUCGGUGUCCAAGCGAAAGCGAUAAGUCAUCCCCCUGGGGAGUACGACCGCAAGGUGGAAACUGACAUGAAUUGACGGGG
rnacentral:rRNA from 1 species